GAUGAACGCUGGCGGCGUGCCUAAUACAUGCAAGUCGAGCGAACAGACGAGGAGCUUGCUCCUCUGACGUUAGCGGCGGACGGGUGAGUAACACGUGGAUAACCUACCUAUAAGACUGGGAUAACUUCGGGAAACCGGAGCUAAUACCGGAUAAUAUAUUGAACCGCAUGGUUCAAUAGUGAAAGACGGUUUUGCUGUCACUUAUAGAUGGAUCCGCGCCGCAUUAGCUAGUUGGUAAGGUAACGGCUUACCAAGGCAACGAUGCGUAGCCGACCUGAGAGGUGGAGCGCCAACCCGAGAAGGAGGCCACCGCCCCACCUCCACCGGAAGGCGGCGGUAGGCAAUCUUCCCCAUUGGGGGAAAGCCCGGCGGCGCACCGCGUCGGGGGUGAGGAAGGUCUCGGGAUCGAACACCUCUGUAAUGGGGGAAAAAAAAUUUUUUACAUAACUCGGCCCGUAUUCACGGUCCCUAGUAAGACGCCCCCGGCUAACGUCAGC
rnacentral:rRNA from 1 species